UACGGGGGGGGUAAGCGUUGUUGGGAAUUACUGGGCGUAAAGGGCUCGUAGGCGGCCAACUAAGUCAGACGUGAAAUCCCUCAGCUUAACUGGGGAACUGCGUCUGAUACUGGAUGGCUUGGAUUCGGGAGAGGAAUGCGGAAUUCCAGGUGUAGCGGUGAAAUGCGUAGAUAUCUGGAGGAACACCGGUGGCGAAGGCGGCAUUCUGGACCGAUAUUGACGCUGAGGAGCGAAAGCCAGGGGAGCAAACGGG
rnacentral:rRNA from 1 species